rnacentral:lncRNA from 1 species
GCUUAUUAAUGUGGAAUGGCGAGUGAAGUAAACCUGGCCGCCAACAUUCAGCUCUAUGACUUCAGGGAAGGAGUUGGGAACAGCAGCCCCCUGGUCCCGAGGAUAAUAACGGCUACAGUUCCCACUUAGAGCCAUUGUCCCUUUCUUCUGCAGCCUCCUGGAAUUAAAGGUGCAAUCCAACUGAGUUACAGCCCUAGACUUUGCAUCCACGAGUGAGGACAGAGAAAGCAGUGAGUCUCUGCGCUUACCUUAGCGAGUGAGUGCUGGAGACUCAGUUCUUGCGAAGAAAUAACCUUUUCCAGAGCAAUCAGAAACCACAGCCACACACUGAGCCUGGACGUCUUGUCAAAUCCCAAACAGCCAAGCAAUGGGAUACCAUGAUUAAAGGAGUGAGCUUUGAGAUCAGACAGUGUGAACUCCAUCAUCUACCACACGUUUCCCACCUGUGCAGCAAUAGCUGUUUCUACCUCUACUGCGGUGUAAGAACUAGCAGUGGUGGCGCACGCCUUUAAUCCCAGCACUUGGGAGGCAGAGGCAGGAGGACUUCUGAGUUCGAGGCCAGCCUGGUCUACAGAGUGAGUUCCAGGACAGCCAAGGCUAAUACAGAGAAACCCUGUCUUGAAAAAAUCCAGAAAAACAACAAACAA